rnacentral:rRNA from 1 species
AUACCGGCUGCUCGAGUGAUGGCCACUAUUACUGGGUUUAAAGCGUCCGUAGCUUGACUGUUAGGUCCCUUGGGAAAUCUUCACGCUUAACGUGAAGGCGUCUAAGAGAUACCGGCAGUCUUGGAACUGGGAGAGGUAAACCGUACGUUCGGGGGUAGGAGUGAAAUCUUGUAAUCCUCGAGGGACGACCUAUGGCGAAGGCAGUUUACCAGAACAGCUUCGACAGUGGAGGGACGAAAGCUGGGGGAGC